rnacentral:rRNA from 1 species
UACGUAGGGUGCGAGCGUUAUUCGGAAUUACUGGGCGUAAAGCGUGCGCAGGCGGUUUUGUAAGUCAGACGUGAAAGCCCCGGGCUUAACCUGGGAAUGGCAUUUGGGACUGCAAGGCUGGAGUUUGGCAGAGGAGACUGGAAUUCCUGGUGUAGCAGUGAAAUGCGUAGAUAUCAGGAGGAAUACCGAUGGCGAAGGCAGGUCUCUGGGCUAUAACUGACGCUCAUGCACGAAGGCGUGGGGAGCAAACAGG